rnacentral:rRNA from 1 species
AACGAACGCUGGCGGCAGGCUUAACACAUGCAAGUCGAACGGGUGUAGCAAUACAUCAGUGGCAGACGGGUGAGUAACACGUGGGAACCUUCCUAGGGGUACGGAACAACUCAGGGAAACUUGAGCUAAUACCGUAUACGUCCGUAAGGAGAAAGAUUCAUCGCCCCUAGACGGGCCGCGUCGGAUUAGGUAGUUGGUGGGGUAACGGCCUACCAAGCCUACGAUCCGUAGCUGAUCUGAGAGGAUGAUCAGCCACACUGGGACUGAGACACGGCCCAGACUCCUACGGGAGGCAGCAGUGGGGAAGUCUUGGACAAUGGGCGCAAGCCUGAUCCAGCCAUGCCGCGUGAGUGAAGAAGGCCUUAGGGUUGUAAANCUCUUUUACCAGGGACGAUAAUGACGGUACCUGG